AUCGCGGCGACGCGAGCGGUUCGCCGCCUGCGACAUCGCGAGAAGUCCACUGAACCUUAUCAUUUAGAGGAAGGAGAAGUCAUAACAAGGUUUUCGUAGGUGAACUGCGGAAGGAUCAUUG
rnacentral:rRNA from 1 species